rnacentral:rRNA from 1 species
UACGUAGGUGGCAAGCGUUGUCCGGAUUUAUUGGGCGUAAAGGGUGCGUAGGUGGUUUCUUAAGUCAGAGGUGAAAGGCUACGGCUCAACCGUAGUAAGCCUUUGAAACUGGGAAACUUGAGUGCAGGAGAGGAGAGUGGAAUUCCUAGUGUAGCGGUGAAAUGCGUAGAUAUUAGGAGGAACACCGGUGGCGAAGGCGGCUUUCUGGCUGACAACUGACGCUGAGGCGCGAAAGCGUGGGGAGCAAACAGGAUUAGAUACCCCUGUAGUCCCUGAG